UACGUAGGGUGCGAGCGUUGUCCGGAAUUAUUGGGCGUAAAGGGCUCGUAGGCGGUCUGUCGCGUCGGGAGUGAAAACUCAGGGCUUAACCCUGAGCCUGCUUCCGAUACGGGCAGACUAGAGGUAUGCAGGGGAGAAUGGAAUUCCUGGUGUAGCGGUGAAAUGCGCAGAUAUCAGGAGGAACACCGGUGGCGAAGGCGGGUCUCUGGGCCGAUACUGACGCUGAGGAGCGAAAGCGUGGGGAGCGAACAGG
rnacentral:rRNA from 1 species